UACGUAGGGGGCAAGCGUUAUCCGGAAUCAUUGGGCGUAAAGCGCGCGCAGGCGGUGCGGUAAGUCUCUGGUGAAAGCGCUCGGCUUAACUGGGCGAGGGCCGGGGAGACUGCCACGCUGGAGGGGAGCAGAGGCGAGUGGAAUUCCGGGUGUAGUGGUGAAAUGCGUAGAGAUCCGGAGGAACACCAGUGGCGAAGGCGGCUCGCUGGGCUCUACCUGACGCUGAGGCGCGAAAGCGUGGGUAGCAAACAGG
rnacentral:rRNA from 1 species